CCUACGGGAGGCAGCAGUGGGGAAUAUUGCACAAUGGGGGAAACCCUGAUGCAGCGACGCCGCGUGAGCGAUGAAGUAUUUCGUUAUGUAAAGCUCUAUCAGCAGGGAAGAAAAUGACGGUACCUGACUAAGAAGCCCCGGCUAACUACGUGCCAGCAGCCGCGGUAAUACGUAGGGGGCAAGCGUUAUCCGGAUUUACUGGGUGUAAAGGGAGCGUAGACGGCAUGGCAAGCCAGAUGUGAAAUACCGGGGCUCAACCCCGGGACUGCAUUGGGAACUGUUAAGCUGGAGUGUCGGAGAGGCAGGCGGAAUGCCUAGUGUAGCGGUGAAAUGCGUAGAUAUGGCGCAGAACGCCGAUUGCGAAGGCAGCAUGCCGGCUCCAAACUGACGCUGAGGCACGAAAGCGUGGGUAGCGAACAGGAUUAGAUACCCUAGUAGUC
rnacentral:rRNA from 1 species